rnacentral:rRNA from 1 species
AUUGAACGCUGGCGGCAUGCCUUACACAUGCAAGUCGAACGGCAGCACGGGAGCAAUCCUGGUGGCGAGUGGCGAACGGGUGAGUAAUACAUCGGAACGUGCCCAAUCGGUGGGGGAUAACGCAGCGAAAGCUGUGCUAAUACCGCAUGAGAUCUACGGAUGAAACGCGAGGGGUACCGCAAGGCCUUGCGCGAAUGGAG